rnacentral:lncRNA from 1 species
AUGCCAUCAACUCAUACUUUGCCUUCAAUAGCCCGGUUGGACAUGCUCACAUUGCAUGCAAUGUUGUGGAACCAGAAGAAAGGGGAUUCCUUACACCAGGCACUUUCCCCAAGAUAUGUGAAGACUUGUCAGAGGCUCCUGGAUGAGACUGCAAUGCUAGCAGUGCUAAAAACCCAGCUACAUCUCUCAGAUGAAAUGGUGUCACAGUGGAUCUCAGAUGUGAUGGAAUGGGCAGCUGGUGAGACACGAGAUGCAUCUGACAACCUGCAAGGCACCACACACACAGGGCUUCAGCGGUCCAUUGAGGGGCUCUACCUCAGUGUGAGGCAGCGGAAGCUAAAUCUGUACCGUCAGAAUGACAGCAACAAGCUUCGCCACCGGCUUCGGAGGAAGCUGGCAGAAGAGAAAAAGCUCCUUUUUCAGGAGAUACAAAAGCACAACAAGCUUGACUCUGCAGCCAACAUCGAUGCAGCUGUGGUGGAGCACUCCCUGAGUGGAGAGAGCACUGUGUCCCCAAUAUGGCCUUGGGAGGUUCAUGACAGCGGUAUGUCAGUUUUUAGAAGAUUUUUGUUAAGCUGUAUACGGUAUACUGCAAUAAGUGUGCAAAAAAUAUUGAGUUGUUUAAUAUUCAUGUCGUUUCUAUUUGUAUUUUAA